UUCCUCCAAGAGCUUUAAUUCCCACGAUUGACGCCAUUAAACUCUGUACCAGGGCUUCUUCAGUAUCUUCCAGGCUCAGGUUUGAUGGUCUCACAAGAUCACAAAUAAGUCAGAGACAUGUGAGGGUUUCUGCAACGAACUCUACAUCUGGUUCUGGCAAUGGAAAAACACCUAAUGAAGAAGGUGAAAAGACAAUUAACAGUUCGGAGGGACCCCCAUUGCUUACAAUUCUGGCUGGAGCCUUGGUAUUUCUCUUCUUUUGUUGGCUUAUCGGAUCCACUGUAAUGUGGCUUAUCGGUCUGAUUGUGAGUGUGGCUUCACCCAAAUAGGGUUUCGUGUGUAUCAAGCUUUCUUUGUAAUUAUCAGUUUCGUUAAAAUUGUUGGACAUGGCAAGAAAUGUUUUUGAUCCAAUAUGUGUUUAACGCUGACUGUAAAAUUCUCUCUAUAUUGUGCGUAACUCAUGGUGGAAGAUUAUAGUACUACAAAGAUACUAUAUCCGUCCUUCUUUCAUAAGAUUCAAUUUUUU